UACGUAAGUGGCGAGCGUUAUCCGGAAUUACUGGGCGUAAAGCGUGCGUAGGCGGUUUAGUGUGUGGGAAUUGAAAGCCCGGGGCUCAACUCCGGAUCCGGUUCCCAAACUGCUAGACUCGAGAGUAUCAGAGGAGAGCGGAAUUCCCGGUGUAGCGGUAAUAUGCGUAGAUAUCAGGAGGAACACCAGUGGCGAAGGCGGCUUUCUGGACGGUAACUGACGCUGAGACGCGAAAGCGUGGGGAGCAAACAGG
rnacentral:rRNA from 1 species